GAAGGGUGCAAGCGCNACUCGGAAUNACUGGGCGUAAAGCGUGCGUAGGUGGUNAUNUAAGNCCGUNGUGAAAGCCCUGGGCUCAACCUGGGAACUGCAGUGGAUACUGGAUGNCUAGAAUGUGGUAGAGGGUAGCGGAAUUCCUGGUGUAGCAGUGAAAUGCGCAGAGAUCAGGAGGAACAUCCAUGGCGAAGGCAGCUACCUGGACCAACAUUGACACUGAGGCACGAAAGCGUGGGGAGCAAACAGGAUUAGAUACCCUGGUAGUCCACGCCCUAAACGAUGCGAACUGGAUGUUGGGUGCAAUUUGGCACGCAGUAUCGAAGCUAACGCGUUAAGUUCGCCGCCUGGGGAGU
rnacentral:rRNA from 1 species